rnacentral:rRNA from 1 species
GACGGAGGGUGCUAGCGUUGUUCGGAAUUACUGGGCGUAAAGGGCGCGUAGGCGGCUACGGCAGUCGGGUGUGAAAGCCCGGGGCUCAACCCCGGAACGGCAUCCGAUACUCUGUGGCUAGAGACCGGAAGAGGUGGGUGGAAUACCCAGUGUAGAGGUGAAAUUCGUAGAUAUUGGGUGGAACACCGGUGGCGAAGGCGGCAUCCUGGACCGAUAUUGACGCUGAUGCGCGAAAGCCAGGGGAGCAAACGGG